AGCGAACGCUGGCGGCAGGCCUAAUACAUGCAAGUCGAACGGCAGCACGGGGGCAACCCUGGUGGCGAGUGGCGAACGGGUGAGUAAUGCAUCGGAGCGUGCCCAGUAGUGGGGGGAUAGCCCGGCGAAAGCCGGAUUAAUACCGCAUACGUACUGAGGUAGAAAGCGGGGGACCGAAAGGCCUCGCGCUAUUGGAGCGGCCGAUGUCGGAUUAGCUUGUUGGUGGGGUAAUGGCCUACCAAGGCGACGAUCCGUAACUGGUCUGAGAGGACGACCAGUCACACUGGGACUGAGACACGGCCCAGACUCCUACGGGAGGCAGCAGUGGGGAAUUUUGGACAAUGGGCGAAAGCCUGAUCCAGCAAUGCCGCGUGUGUGAAGAAGGCCUUCGGGUUGUAAGCACUUUGUCCGGUAAAGGAAAUACCGUCUGGCUAAUACCC
rnacentral:rRNA from 1 species